AGCUCCAAAAAAAAAAAAAAAGUCUUUGUGUUUGCGCAGCCCCUUUACCUUAGAGGCUGCUCACAACCCUUCCCUUAAUCUCUCGGCCACAAGAUUCCCCCAAUGACUUUGACUUCUCUAAGUACUCUAGGCCUCCCUUGGUACAAUGACAAACAGAAUAUCCAUUGAAAAGCUUUCAGCCAGUUUUGUUUUGACUAGUUUUAAUUUCCAUAAAGACAGGACUGUCUUCCUUCACCCUGCCUUUACAGUUCCCCCAGUUAAGCUGAACCCAGGGUAUCAAGCAUGCUAAGCCAAGAUUCCAAUACAUUGCUACACCCCAGCCGACCUUCACUCUUUAGAAAGAUCACACUUCCUUAAAAUGACCCUCUCCUACUUUAAAUGGUAUUUGAAAAUAAGCACAGCUUAUGGAGUGUGUUAACUUUCAUUGUUGUGACUAAAUGCACCCACCCCCCUCAAAUAAUAAUAAUAACUUAAAGAAGCAAAGGUUUGUUCUAACUCAUGGUGGCAGAAGAUUCAAUCCCCAUGGUCACUGGCCCCAUAUAGUCAGAACACCACUGUAUGUGCAGAGGAACUUUUCAUCUCACCUAGACAAGAAGCAGAAAGUGAGCACGAAAGGAGGGGGCUAGGAAUAACAGCACCCCCCCCCCAAGAACCCAUCCUGAGUGACCUGUUCCCCACUUCCAAGCCUCCAGAAUCUCCCAAAAUACUGCUGCUACUCGGUGAGUCACCUUGUAACACAUUAGUAUUUUUAGGAGAUUUUUUUCAUAUCCAAAUCACAAUACAAGUCACAGUUUGUACGACUGGGAGGUUUUCCUUAAGAAGCAAAAUGUUCUGAGAACAAUGAAGCUGUCCCAUUUUUGGAGGGCACUGAGAUGCUGACUCCAGCAAGAGUCCAUACAGAGAGAAAGGGAACACAGUGCACGUGUGUUGGUAUUAGGUGUCCCUGUUAUGUUUGUCAAACAUGAAGCAGCACAAUAAAAGCAAAAACAACAAAGGGAGACUGUCAGUGCAGACAAAGCAAGUCCCUGUCCAGACACAGGUGGAGAAACACACUUGCAUGGCCUGAACACUAUCAAAACUGCAUGGCAUGCUGGUUCAUAUAGCCUUGCCACCCUACCCAGGCCAGCAUAAACAGGACUAGGAAGCUGAGUUGAUACUGUGUGAGACACCAGUAGGAAAAGCAAAAACUAUUAUGCUCAUAGAGCCAACUUCAAGGUCAGAGCCACCCAGAAAAACAAUGUUAUUUCAGGUCACUAGCCAGCUCUGUGGGAUGCUUGUUCUUCGUUCUCCUUCUGUCGUGGAGCAUGAGCAUUUGAUGACAGCAAGUUCAGCUCCCAUACUGUGAGGGCUGAAUGUUUGUCAGCAUUCCUUAACAUAAAUGCAAGGCUCUCCAAUGGUGAUGCCCACCAUUUUCUCUACUCAGGCAGGAAAUGAUACCUGCGGUGGCUUUACAUCCCACUGGGGUAACCAAGAAAGGAUAAGGGCUUUUUAUCCACAUAGAUGCUGCUUUUUGGUUAAGUUAUAAAUCAAGUAUGGGCCUGGAGCACUCAGAACCUCCUUGUCUAUGUAUAAAUACGUACAGUUAUGUGCUAGAUCGAGACACCUCACCUCUACUUAAAGAGUCCAAGGCUUUACAAUCUACUUCCUUUCCCAAAGUCAGUGUUAAGAAUGCUCCAAACUGCUGCACCUCUUUCAGCACAGAACAACUCUGGUCUUUCUCCUAAUAAAAGCAAUACAGUAUAGGUGUAGGCAGGAUGAAAUCCUAAGGGCGCAGGAGAAAGAAAGGAUGAGUGAGAAGGAAGCGACGGUUGCAGAGAGAAUGAGUGACUGGCAACUCUGACUAACACAGCCGAGUCCCCAGCUAAAGUCUCUCUUCCUCUAACUUACAAAAUGUCUGCUUCUGUGCCAACCGCAUCACGACCAUCAUGUACAGACAAAUAAAUACAAACAGCGUUAUGUGCAAGAAUCAAUUACCAUGCCAUCUGCAUGGGUCUGGAGAUAGAACAAGGAACUGAGAACCUGGGUGCCAGUCUGUUUUUGGUUUCAUAUGACUUAUUUACAAAGAAAGCUAUCCUAGUUUGCAUUCCGUUACUGUGGUAAUCCCAUGACCAAAAACACCUGAGGAAGAAAAGAAUACAUCUGGCUUCCUGAGCAUAGUCCAUCGCGGAGGAAAUUCAGGGCAGGAGUUUAAGCAGGAACUUAGAGCAGAGACCAGGCAGGAACACCGCUUACUGGAUACUGAAUAAUUUGGACUCCGUAGAAAGUUUGCAACAACUACUUGGGCGACUGAAAAAUCAGAAAUAUUAAGAGAGAGAUCCAGAAACCAUUUGCCCUGGGAACUGUUACCAGGUGAACACGCUUAUAACUGGUGGUGAAGAAAUUUCACCAGAAACCAGCAGCUUCUCAGAAUGUCACAUGCCAACCCCAGCACUGCCAAUCGACUACAACUUGGUUUCAUUAUGAAGACCAGGCUGGCCUUGAACUCAGAAAUCCACUUGUGUCUGCCUCCUGAGUGCAAAGAUUAAAGGUGUGAGUCACCACUCCUAGCUCCUUGCAUUUCUUUACGAUUUUUUUCAGCUAAGUAUACAUCCUUAGAUUCUAAAGUUGGUUUUACCCAUUUUUGUAAAAAUGGUCUUUUGUUUCUUCUUUUUUUUCCCCCAAGUUGAUUCUUCCCACUUUCACAGUUAUUUGUCAUUAAAAACUGAGGUAAACAUUUUCUGCAAACUAACCUAUGCACACAAAAGUCACAUUUUUAAAUUAGGUUUGUUCUUUGGCAAUUUCACACAUGUAUAGACUGCAUUUGUGAUUACUCUCACCUCCUUUCUUCUCUUAUCUCCCUCUCACCUUUAUCAAUCCACUCCACCCACCCUCCCCAAAUCCUGUUGGGGUUUGCCCUGGGGUUAUCUGUAUUUUGAUGCUAGUUCCACUGCCCCAAGGACAGCUGCCUGGUCACUCAGGUGACUUCACCAGAAC
rnacentral:sRNA from 1 species